CAGUGACAACAUGCUGGUGACUCUCUGUGCUCUCAUCACUGCUCUAACAUGUGUGAGUGGUGUGACGGUGCUGACACAGAAACCUCCUGUUUUAUCAGUGAGGAAAGGAGAGACAGCCACCAUGGACUGUAACCUGGGGACUGUUACUAACAAUGUUGCUGCCUGGCAUAAACAGAUUCCAGGAGGAAGUCCUCAGCAUGUGCUGUAUUUUUAUCAUGGCUAUAGUUCUCCAUACUAUGGUUCUGAGUUCUCUGCUCCAAAAUUCACAUCCACUCAUCAGUCAACAACAGAUUAUCGUUUAAUCAUCAAAAAUGUGGAGGAGGGAGACUCUGCAGUCUAUUACUGUCAAACAUGGGACAGCUCUGCUGAUAGUGGGAUUGACUGUGACGUCAUAGCACUGAUGGAUGACGCAACUUUGGCAAACUACAUUCCCUCGUACGGAGACCGAAUUGCCCUCUUCAAUUUCUGCAAAAGCAAGCAACCACUGUCAAAAAGAAAACUAGGACUUCUGCAAAAAGUUCACCUCUCAAA